AACGAACGCUGGCGGCAGGCCUAACACAUGCAAGUCGAGCGCCCAGCAAUGGGAGCGGCGCACGGGUGAGUAACACGUGGGAACGUGCCCUUUGGUUCGGAAUAACGCAGGGAAACUUGCGCUAAUACCGGAUAAGCCCUACGGGGGAAAGAUUUAUCGCCAUUGGAGCGGCCCGCGUCUGAUUAGCUAGUUGGUGAGGUAACGGCCCACCAAGGCAACGAUCAGUAGCUGGUUUGAGAGAACGACCAGCCACACUGGGACUGAGACACGGCCCAGACUCCUACGGGAGGCAGCAGUGGGGAAUCUUGGACAAUGGGGGAAACCCUGAUCCAGCCAUGCCGCGUGAGUGAUGAAGGCCCUAGGGUUGUAAAACUCUUUCGGCGGGACGAUAAUGACGGUACCCGCAGAAGAAGCUCCGGCUAACUUCGUGCCAGCCGCCGCCGUAAGACCUGGGACUGCCAAGGCAC
rnacentral:rRNA from 1 species